UGCGUAGGCGGAUUGAUAAGUCAGUGGUGAAAACCUACAGCUUAACUGUAGAACUGCCAUUGAUACUGUUAGUCUUGAGUACGGUCAAGGUAGGCGGAAUGUGUAAUGUAGCGGUGAAAUGCUUAGAUAUUACACAGAACACCGAUUGCGAAGGCAGCUUACUGGACCAUUACUGACGCUGAGGCACGAAAGCGUGGGGAGCAAACAGGAUUAGAUACCCUGGUAGUCC
rnacentral:rRNA from 1 species